rnacentral:tRNA from 1 species
AGUAAAAUGCCUGAAUAAAGGAUUAUCAUGAUAGGAUAAAUAAUGUAAUUUUAUUACUUUUACUA